AAUUUCCCCAGAGGCAUUGCAGACAGUGGCUGCUGUGUCGCAUGUGUAUUAAUAAGUGACAAAGAAAAGAGAGUCUAUGUCUAUGCUUGGUGUCCUGACCUAUGAACAUCUGAAUGAUUAGUAACCUAACAUU